GAUGAACGCUAGCUACGGGCUUAACACAUGCAAGUCGAGGGACCGGCGCACGGGUGAGUAACGCGUAUCCAACCUGGCCCCAAGUAGGGAAUAAUCCGUAGAAAUGCGGUCUAAUACCCUAUGCUUGGGGAUGGGGAUGCGUCUGAUUAGUUUGCUGGCGGGGUAACGGCCCACCAGGACGACGAUCAGUAGGGGUUCUGAGAGGAAAGUCCCCCACAUUGGAACUGAGACACGGUCCAAACUCCUACGGGAGGCAGCAGUGAGGAAUAUUGGUCAAUGGCCGAGAGGCUGAACCAGCCAAGUAGCGUGCAGGAUGACGGCCUAUGGGUUGUAAACUGCUUUUAUACGGGGAUAGGUACCGUAUGAAUAAGGACCGGCUAAUUCCGUGCCAGCAGCCGCGGUAAUACGGAAGGUCCGGGCGUUAUCCGGAUUUAUUGGGUUUAAAGGGAGCGCAGGCCGUCUGUUAAGCGUGUUGUGAAAUGUAGGCGCCCAACGUCUGAAUUGCAGCGCGAGCUGGCUGACUAGAGUACGCACAACGUUGCCGGAAUUUGCCGUGUAGCGGUGAAAUGCUUAGAUAUGGCGAAGAACUCCGAUUGCGAAGGCAGCUGACGGGAGCGCAACUGACGCUCAUGCUCGAAAGUGCGGGUAUCGAACAGGAUUAGAUACCCUGGUAGUCCGCACGGUAAACGAUGGAUGCCCGCUAUUAGUUAGUGGCCAAGUGAAAACGUUAAGCAUCCCACCUGGGGAGUACGCCGGCAACGGUGCAACUCAAAUGAAUUGACGGA
rnacentral:rRNA from 1 species